CAUCGUUCACAUCAUUCUAUCUCCAUCGAUAUAAUAACCUCCUCCACUCACCCUUUUCUUCUAUUCCUCGUGACCUACUAUUGUCCGACGAACAUGACAGAGAAUUUUCAGUGAGCUGAGAAAAGAGAGAAUAUGAGUGAUGGCAAAGGAUAUCUGCAAUUUAUAAAGGAACACUUGGAUUUGAAGUAGAUAAGAGUUGCACGAGAUGGUACCUAGAAGCUACAAAAUAGAGCAUAAAAAGAAGACAUUUCAAGGCCAUAAAAAUUCACAGCUUUAAAUAUUGCAAGGCCAUGAAAAUUCACAACCUUAGACAGUACAAUGCACUAUCCAAACCACUAACUUUGGCUCCCAUGACGAUGCGAGGCCGUAUAGUUUUGGCGCCUCUGAUGGUGCCUUGCACUGUUAUUUCGGCGCCUCUAAUGAUGCCCCUCACUGAUGAUGUCUAUCCAAGCCACUUUAUUUUCCUCUUCAGUUUUGGAUGUGGACUCUUUAGCUCUACCUUAUAAAUACCUCUUAAAGUUAGUUUUUAGAGAGUGAGACAUUAUUUGGGAGGCAAAAGACAGUUGUAACGAUUGUAAGCACCGGAACACAUGAGUUCUUCUUUGU